UUUAAAUGAGAAUUUUGGACUAUUCGUAACAAUAAUUAUAAAAUUAAUGGGAUAGUUUUAAUUUUUUAUUUAAUUG